rnacentral:rRNA from 1 species
UUGUAAUUUGUAGAAGGUGCUUCGGAUGCAAUAAUGGUACAAGUUCCUUGGAAUUGGACGUCAUAGAGGGUGAUAAUCCCGUUUUGACCAAAUUAUUCAUCCAUGUGAAGCCCUUUCGACGAGUCGAGUUGUUUGGGAAUGCAGCUCAAAAUGGGUGGUAGACUUCAUCUAAAGCUAAAUAUCAGCCAGAGACCGAUAGCGCACAAGUAGAGUGAUCGAAAGAUGAAAAGCACUUUGAAAAGAGAGUUAAACAGCACGUGAAAUUGUUGAAAGGGAAGCGCUUGCAACCAGACUUGCUUGUAAUGUUCAGCCUCCUGAAAAGGUGGUGUAUUCUUUACCUGCAGGCCAGCAUCGGUUUCGACGGUUGGACAAAAGCUUAAGGAAAGUAGCUCCUCUCGGGGAGUGUUAUAGCCUGAGUAUAAUGCAACCAGUCGGGACCGAGGAACGCGCUUUUGCGAGGAUGUUGGCAUAAUGGUUGUUAGCGACCCGUCUUGAAACACGGACCAAGGAGUCGACCAAUUAAGCGAGCGUUAGGGUGUAAAACCCGCAACGCGCAAUGAAAGUAAACGUAGGUGGGAAGCUUUUAGCAGCACCAUCGACCGAUCUAAGUUCGCGAGGAUUUGAGUAUGAGUUUCAUUGGUCGGACCCGAAAGUCAGUAUCCCUUCUGUUUGUUUUGUUUCUUAUACUAACCUUUUUGUUUAGGAAGGUGAACUAUUCCCGAAUAGGUUGAAGCUAGUCGAAAGACUGGUGGAAGACCGCAGCGGUUCUGACGUGCAAAUCGAUCGUCAAAUUUAGGAAUAGGGGCGAAAGACUAAUCGAACCUUCUAGUAGCUGGUUCCUGUCGAAGUUUCCCUCAGGAUAGCAGCAACGAUAAACAGUCUCAUGAGGUAGAGCAACGAUUAGAGGCCUUGGGGUUGAAACAACCUUAACCUAUUCUCGAACUCCGAAUAUGUGAGAAGUCCUUGUUACUUAAUUGAA